UUGGGGCAUCCUGGGAGGAUUAAAAUGCAGGGAAUGACUAGAGGAGAAUGGAAAUAUACCUUUCUCAAAAUGUACAUCUCUACUGAUAAAGAAUGACCUGGUAAUUAGAUAAAAAAAGUAUGUACCCAUUUUGGGUAGUGGAAUAACCCAUAUGAACUGAUUUAACUGCUCUCACGCCAAACUUAUAUCGUAUAGGAGAAUUAACAGUGGCAUAACACAAACAACCCAACACGCGAAGAUGUUGUAGAUUAGGUCUCCUUCCUAGGAAAACCUCAAGAGGAGACUUCCCUCCUAGUGCACUAGUAGGGAUUCUGUUGAUGAGAUACACAACACUUUGAACACACUUGCCCCAAAACCUGAUUGGAAUAAAACCUUGGAAAUUAUUAAUCUGGCUACCUCUAGAAUUUGCCUAUGUUUUCUUUCCACCACACCAUUUUGUUGAGGUGUGUAAGGACAAGAGCUUUGAUGAACAAUACAUGUAUCACUGAACAAAACUUUGCAAGCAGAAUUGAAAAAUUCAAUCCCAUUAUCACUUCUGAAAACUUUGACAGUAGUCUCAAAUUGAUUCUUAACAAGCUGUAGAAAAUCUUUUAAUACAAGAGGAAUAUCACUUUUGAACUUCAACAAGUAAAUCCAAACCAUUCGGGUGUGAUCAUCCACUAAGGUAAGGAAGAAUCUGUGCCCAUUACACAUAGGUACCUUAUAAGGUCCCCAUACAUCUCCAUGAACUAAAUCAAACAUUUUAUUUUCUCUACUAGUACUAUGAGGAAAAGGAAUCCUAGUAUGUUUAGCUAGAGGACAGAUGUGGCAAACAACAUGCUUGGAUCUCUUAGUCAGCUGCAUUUGAGCCAAGACUCUAUGUGGAACAUGGCCUAACCUCUUGUGCCAUAUGUCAGUAUCCAGAACUGUACUGCAAGCUACCAUUGAAUGUUGAAACCCAGACUGCAAGUGAUAUAGGUCAUUUAGCAUUCUACCAGUCCCAUUCACCUGCCCACUGUGAAGGUCCUGCAUUAAGCAGAAAUCAGGAUAGAACUUCAACACACAAUUUAGCUCUCUGGUCAGCUUGGCUACAGAUAAUAAAUUAAGUUUAAAACCUGGAACACAUAGCACAUUUUUUUUAUCAUACCCUGGUCUAGCCUACAACUACCAACAUGCAGUAUAUGAAGUUUGCUUCCAUCAGGUAAAUGUACACUUCCAGUUUCAUUACAACCAUUAAUCUCAGAUAACAAGCUAGGAUGACAAACCAAGUGAUUAGUUUCUCAUGUGUCUACUAUCCAAUCAUGUACAACUUUCUCCUUCUCUAAAGUAUAAGAAGUACCUGCCAUGUUAGCUGAUGGUGAAGGGGCAUGAGUAUUUUUAGGAAACAUCCUUUGAACCUGUGCAUAUUGAUCAGGAGAUAAAGAAACAGUGAUGUUCACAUUAGUUGCCAUUUCAGGCUGCUGAUGUAGAUGAUCCUUUCCUCGACCAGUUCCCAGAGACUCCUCACCAUGAGGUCUUGGGCCAUAUGAGUUCCCAGAUUGAUUUCCACCCAUCGAGUUGCCUUGAAUCCCUGCAUAUCCAUAGCAAGGAGAUUGAGGCUUAUUAAUGUGCAGAUAUGGAGUCCAAUAUCCAUCAUGAGUACCUUGUGAACAUCCAGCCUGAGUACUAUGUGAAUAAGACUGAUGUGCUCCUGUUGUAGCAUACAGAGCAUUAUUAGCCAGGGGCUUUCUCUUCCCCUUAAAAUUAUCCGGAUAUCCUAUGAGUUGAUAACAAUUUGCAGCUGUAUGACCAUACAUCUUGUAAUGAUCACAUUGAUCAUUCCAGUUUCUCUUAGGCUUCUGAAAGUUACGGUUAGGUGUUGAUCCUCGAAAUUGACUUGUACCAUUUAUAUUGCCAGAAGAACUAGAUGAAUCUGAUCCACGUGCACUCCAAAAAGCAACAAUAUCAUUACCUUCUCCAAUGCCAUGUCUUCCUGAAUCGCUAAUGAAUCGAUGACUUUCUUCCUCUAUAAUCAUUGCAUAACACUGAUUUAGACUAGGCUCAGUUGUCUUCAUGAGGAUCUGUCGUUUACUGUGUAUAUGUAUCAUUUAAGCCACUUAGAAACUGUAACAAUUUUUGUUAUUGCAGGUGAGCGGUGUACUCCUUAUACCUAUCACAUCACAAUUAGGAAAAUGGACGAUUGCGUCGUAUUCAGCCCAAAGCUCCUUCAAUUUGGUGAAGUAAGUUGAUACAGUGUCUGUCCCCUGCGAAAUCAUAGCAAUAUCUCUGUGCAAUUGAAAAAUUCGUACUCGAUUAACUUUAUCAAACCUCUCUUGUAGAUCUUCCCAAACUGUGUGGGCAUCAGUAGUGUAAAGAAUUCCACUGAUAAGAUGUGGAGCUACAGUAUUAAUGAUCCAUGACAGAACAAUCGCAUUGCAAAUUUCCUAGUGCUCCUGCAGUUUCUUCUCAAACGAACUCUUCUUGCAUGUGCCAAGUACAAAACAAAGCUUCCUCUU
rnacentral:lncRNA from 1 species